UAGGGAAUCUUCGGCAAUGGGGGGAACCCUGACCGAGCAACGCCGCGUGAGUGAAGAAGGUUUUCGGAUCGUAAAGCUCUGUUGUUAAGGAAGAACGAGUGUGAGAAUGGAAAGUUCAUGCUGUGACGGUACUUAACCAGAAAGGGACGGCUAACUACGUGCCAGCAGCCGCGGUAAUACGUAGGUCCCGAGCGUUGUCCGGAUUUAUUGGGCGUAAAGCGAGCGCAGGCGGUUAGAAAAGUCUGAAGUGAAAGGCAGUGGCUCAACCAUUGUAGGCUUUGGAAACUGUUUAACUUGAGUGCAGAAGGGGAGAGUGGAAUUCCAUGUGUAGCGGUGAAAUGCGUAGAUAUAUGGAGGAACACCGGUGGCGAAAGCGGCUCUCUGGUCUGUAACUGACGCUGAGGCUCGAAAGCGUGGGGAGCAAACAGG
rnacentral:rRNA from 2 species